GAAUGGUUUAAACUUUUAUUGACUUCAUUAGGAAUAGGCUUCAACUUACUGAGUAAGCCCACAGUGGGUAAUUGGAGCGCCUAUGGAGCCUUCAGGUAUAUUUCCUCAAAGUGAAACGUCUCUGGAUAGUGUAUAAACACAAAAGGAGUCCAGAAUGACAAACAUAAAACUAUAUAUUAAUGGUGGCUGUGUCUGCUUAAAUAGAUUUGUAAUUUGAGUUGAGAGUUCUUUGUACACUGAACAGAUUGACUUUGUUACAAAUACAUAAUUUUUUUUCUAAUGCCUGUCUCUUGACCAGCAAAUAAUGAUUUAGGCUGACCAAAAUGUACCAUAUUGGUUUAUAACCAACAGUAGACAGUUACACUAAUGCUUAACUGAUUCUUGACUUAAAUGUUGGGAACAGAAAAAGACUUUUUCACAUUAGUGGUCAUACCCUCCAGUCUGAGUCCUUUGUCAUAUAGCUCCUCUCAAAAUCAUUUGGCACCUCCUUCUAAGUUAUGGUAAAUUAACUGUAGUUACUCUA
rnacentral:lncRNA from 1 species